AUUGAACGCUGGCGGCAGGCCUAACACAUGCAAGUCGAACGAGUGGCGGACGGGUGAGUAAUGUCUGGGAAACUGCCUGAUGGAGGGGGAUAACUACUGGAAACGGUAGCUAAUACCGCAUACCAUCAGAUGUGCCCAGAUGGGAUUAGCUAGUAGGUGGGGUAAAGGCUCACCUAGGCGACGAUCCCUAGCUGGUCUGAGAGGAUGACCAGCCACACUGGGACUGAGACACGGCCCAGAGUCCUACGGGAGGCAGCAGUGGGGAAUUUUGGACAAUGGGCGCAAGCCUGAUCCAGCCAUGCCGCGUGUCUGAAGAAGGCCUUCGGGUUGUAAAGGACUUUCGUCGGGGAAGCGUUACCUGAAGAAGAAGCACCGGCUAACUACGUGCCAGCAGCCGCGGUAAUUC
rnacentral:rRNA from 1 species